rnacentral:tRNA from 1 species
CGCGGGCUGGCGCAGCAGGUGCUGAGCGACGGUCGCUGGGAAGUCGUGUUCGUGCCCGAGGGCGCGGGCAAGUCCGCCGCGCCCGCUGCCA